rnacentral:misc_RNA from 1 species
AAAAUAUUUAUAAUUUCUUUUUUUUUGUUUAUUGAAUAUAAUCUAUAAAAGGGUACAUGCUCACAAUUCACAUCUCAAAAUAACGAGGUCGCUUACCUGAUUUAGAAGUAGUCAGAAAGAUUGAGAUAUAUAUAUACUCACGGUGUAGAUGUAGCUCCUGUGCUUGCCAAUGCUUUCUCUAUCAUCUGUUUCAUCUCUUUCUCAGACUCUGCAGAGUCUCCUAUGCCUCCUUCCCGUAAGCCAUAGCGAGUAAAUUUUGAAGCGAAAGCAAGCUUAUAAGCGUCAUCCUCCCACUGCAACUCGUUCCACCACUCUUCCGCUCCUUCUAUCUUCUCUAAGUUGUUCUUUGCACUAUUGGAAUCAAACGGGAGCUUUUUCAGACUCGGGCAACCAGUUACUCGCAGCACUUGCAGGGAAGGGAAGGGCAAGAUUUGAUGGCAGAUGCUCCUUAGCUGUGGUAGACUCUUCAAAAUCAACAGUCUAAGAUUUGGAAAAAUGUCCAUUUCUGCGGAGCUGAAUCUGUCUGCUAUUAUUUCCUCAAAUGAGGAACAAGAACACACAACAAGAGUUUGAAGUCUUGGAGCAUGAAUCACCCAUGUCGACAAAUCCUUUAUCCGUGGACAACCCCAAAUGUUCAGAUAACGAAGGUCUUGAAAGUGAGCUUGCCUUGCUGGAUAAAUCAGGAGCUCCUCGAGAUGUGGACAAUUAAGCAUGGCAACUACUUCAAGGUGCUUGGCGAUUCUCAAGAUUGAAGAUGACAUCUCAAAUGAGGUCAAAUUAUUGCAUGUACUGACUAAGAGUCCUCUAAUGUAGCUUUCCAACCUGAGGCUACUCAUAUAUUUUUGGAUGGAGCUAAGAUUAGUUAAUGUGAUGCAAACGUCAUUCAAGUAUUCCAAGGACUCUAACUCCUCCAACAAGCCCCCUUCAUCGAAGAGUUUAUCAUGAAUAAGUUGGGUCUUGGUGAACACCUGCAAUAAUGAAAGACUUGAAAUAACUCCUCUUGGGAUAUUUG